CUGCAACUCAGCCAACCAGCACAUCGGACAGUGGGAGGAGGAAUUCUUGGCUAAGAGUACUGAGAUUAUUUACCCCUCAAAACAACCCCCAAGGUGUCUACAACCAGUUCCACAAGUCUUGUACCAAUCCAUCCCUCCUCACUCAGGGUUUUUGCAUGUCUGACACCCAUGGCUCCACCUGGACUCAUCUGGAUCUGCCAACCCCAUUCCCGUGGCCCCACCCAGAAGUGAUUCAGCUUACAGGAGGACAGCUUCAGCUUCCCAUGAUUUUGUCUAUGCCCCAACCAAUCAAUAGCAAGCAUAGCCACAGCCACCCCUUUCCCAAACUGCCUUUGAGAAACCCCUAACCUAUGAACUUUGGACGAGAAUGAUUUGAGAAUUAACUCCAUCUCCCACCUGGCGUGGCUGGCCUUGUGUCUAUUAAACUCUUUCUCUACUAUAA
rnacentral:lncRNA from 1 species